rnacentral:rRNA from 1 species
GAUGAACGCUGGCGGCGUGCUUAAUACAUGCAAGUCGAACGGACAGGCCCUGCUCUUGCGGGGUGCUUGUGUGGCGAAGGGGUGAGUAAAACGUGUGUAUACUGCCCCUGAAUUAGGGAUAAAUCUAGGAAACUGGGGCUCAUAUCGGAUAGGAGCUUCUGAUGCAUGGUGGUGGAUGGUAAGAUACGGCGGUUGGGGAUGGUUUCGCGGGAUCCCCGCUUGUUGGUGGAGUUGUGGCUUACCAAGGCUUUGAAGGGUAGCCGGCCUGAGAGGGUGACCGGCCACAAUGGGACUAAGAGACGGCCCAGACUCCUACGGGAGGCAGCAGUGGGGAAUAUUGCAGAGUGGGCGGGAGCCUGAUACAGCAGCGCCGCGAGCGGGAUAACGGCCUUCGAGUUAUGAACCGCUUUCGCCUGUGACGAGGCGUGAGUGACGGUAAUGGGUAAGAAAGCACCGGCUAACUACGUG